rnacentral:rRNA from 1 species
UUGGAGGGCAAGUCUGGUGCCAGCAGCCGCGGUAAUUCCAGCUCCAAUAGCGUAUAUUAAAGUUGUUGCAGUUAAAAAGCUCGUAGUUGAAUUUCGGGAUCAAUUUAUUGGUCGUGCUAUUGUACGUACUGGUAUUAUUGAUUCCUACCUUCUGACGAACCAUGAUGUCAUUAAUUUGGUGUCUUGGGGAAUCAGGACUGUUACUUUGAAAAAAUUAGAGUGUUUAAAGCAGGCUCACGCUUGAAUACAUUAGCAUGGAAUAACGAAAUAGGACGUUUGAUUCUAUUUUGUUGGUUUCUAGGAUCGACGUAAUGAUCAAUAGGGAUAGUUGGGGGCAUUAGUAUUCAAUUGUCAGAGGUGAAAUUCUUGGAUUUAUUGAAGACUAACUACUGCGAAAGCAUUUGCCAAGGAUGUUUUCAUUAAUCAAGAACGAAAGUUAGGGGAUCGAAGACGAUCAGAUACCGUCGUAGUCUUAACCAUAAACUAUGCCGACUAGGGAUCGGAUGAUGUUAAUUUUUUAAUGACUCAUUCGGCGCCUUACGGGAAACCAAAGUGUUUGGGUUC